ACCGAGUUUACAACUCCCAAACCCCUGUGAACAUACCAACUGUUGCCUCGGCGGAUCAGCCCGCUCCCGGUAAAACGGGACGGCCCGCCAGAGGACCCCUAAACUCUGUUUCUAUAUGUAACUUCUGAGUAAAACCAUAAAUAAAUCAAAACUUUCAACAACGGAUCUCUUGGUUCUGGCAUCGAUGAAGAACGCAGCAAAAUGCGAUAAGUAAUGUGAAUUGCAGAAUUCAGUGAAUCAUCGAAUCUUUGAACGCACAUUGCGCCCGCCAGUAUUCUGGCGGGCAUGCCUGUUCGAGCGUCAUUUCAACCCUCAAGCCCAGCUUGGUGUUGGGACUCGCGAGUCAAAUCGCGUUCCCCAAAUUGAUUGGCGGUCACGUCGAGCUUCCAUAGCGUAGUAGUAAAACCCUCGUUACUGGUAAUCGUCGCGGCCACGCCGUUAAACCCCAACUUCUGAAUGUUGACCUCGGAUCAGGUAGGAAUAC
rnacentral:rRNA from 1 species